GGCUCUUUGUAAAGUUUAAUAAAGAUAGAGAGUCUGGCCUGCCCGGUGAUUUUUAAACGGNUGCAACGAGAGUUGUGCUAAGGUAGCGUGGUAAGUUGUCUUUUAAUUGGAGAAUGGUAUGAAUGGUUUGACGUAGAAUAACUGUCUUUGGGGAAUAGAAUUAAGUUUCCUUUUAAGUGAAAAGGCUUAUAUUUUUGUAAAAGACGAGAAGACCCUGUCGAGCUUAAUUAAGAUUGUUUGUUUUAUUUAUAAUAAUUAGAAUUUUUGUUGGGGCAACAUUGGUUAAAAUAACGACUUAAUUUUUAAACAUAGAUCCUUUUGNUGAAAGAAAAUAGCAAAAGCUACCGCAGGGANAACAGCGUUAUCCUUUUUAAGAGAUCGAAUUGAGAAAAGGGUUUGCGACCUCGAUGUUGGAUUAUGGAANCGUUUNGGUGUAGGGCUAUGAUAGUGAGACUGUNCGUCUUUAAUUCNU
rnacentral:rRNA from 1 species